rnacentral:rRNA from 1 species
AACGAACGCUGGCGGCAGGCUUAACACAUGCAAGUCGAACGAGAUCUUCGGAUCUAGUGGCAGACGGGUGAGGAACACGUGGGAACAUCCCUUUCAGUUCGGAAUAACGUUGGGAAACUAACGCUAAUACCGGAUACGUCCUUCGGGAGAAAGAUUUAUCGCUGAAAGAUUGGCCCGCGUCUGAUUAGCUAGUUGGUGAGGUAACGGCUCACCAAGGCUACGAUCAGUAGCUGAUCUGAGAGGAUGAUCAGCCACAUUGGGACUGAGACACGGCCCAAACUCCUACGGGAGGCAGCAGUGGGGAAUAUUGGACAAUGGGCGCAAGCCUGAUCCAGCCAUGCCGCGUGAGUGAUGACGGCCUUCGGGUUGUAAAGCUCUUUUGUCCGGGAAGAUAAUGACUGUACCGGAAGAAUAAGCCCCGGCAAACUUCGUGCCAGCAGCCGCAGUAACAC